rnacentral:rRNA from 1 species
UGCCAGCCGCCGCGGUAAUACGGAGGGUGCAAGCGUUAUUCGGAAUCACUGGGCUUAAAGAGUACGUAGGCGGCUUGGUAGGUUGGGUGUGAAAUCCCACAGCUCAACUGUGGAACUGCGCUCAAAACCACCAGGCUUGAGGGAGACAGGGGUGAGCGGAACUGAUGGUGGAGCGGUGAAAUGCGUUGAUAUCAUCAGGAACACCGGUGGCGAAGGCGGCUCACUGGGUCUCCUCUGACGCUGAGGUACGAAAGCUAGGGUAGCGAACGGGAUUAGAUA